AAUGAACGCUGGCGGCGUGCCUAACACAUGCAAGUCGAACGUGACGCAAGUUACAUGGCGGUCGUAUGGGUAGCGCGUGGCGGAUGGACCUGGUUUUGGGGGAUAACUAUCCUUUCGGAGUGGUUAUCCCACAUAAGCCUACGAGAAGAGAUGAUACCGCCGAAGCGUGAGGGCCGCAGAGCCUCGGGCCAUGAGAGGAUCAUUCAGCCGAUGUCGGAUUAGCUAGUUGGCGGGGUAAAGGCCCACCAAGGCGACGAUCAGUAGCUGGUCUGAGAGGAUGAUCAGCCACACUGGAACUGAGACACGGUCCAGACUCCUACGGGAGGCAGCAGUGGGGAAUUUUGCGCAAUGGGCGAAAGUCUGACGCAGCAACGCCGCGUGGGUGAUGAAGGUCUUCGGAUUGUAAAGCCCUGUCGUUAGGGAAGAAGGGCGGAGGGUUAAUAGCGCGGUGACUUGACGGUACCUGGAGAGGAAGCCCCGGCUAACUCCGUG
rnacentral:rRNA from 1 species